GACGGAGGGUGCUAGCGUUGUUCGGAAUCACUGGGCGUAAAGGGCGCGUAGGCGGCCCAUGCCGUCGGCUCGUGAAAGCCCGGGGCUCAACCCCGGAGGUGCGGCCGAGACCCAUGGGCUGGAGGCCGGAAGAGGAGGGUGGAAUACCCAGUGUAGAGGUGAAAUUCGUAGAUAUUGGGUGGAACACCGGUGGCGAAAGCGGCUCUCUGGUCCGGUCCUGACGCUGAGGCGCGAAAGCGUGGGGAGCAAACAGG
rnacentral:rRNA from 1 species